GAUUUCAACUGAAAAAGUCAUCAAUAACAAAGCUGUAUAAAUCAUCAAUAUCUAUAACUUUUAUUUUGGUCAUUUCUUCAUCCGACAAAGUAAUAGUAACAUUAUUUACAAAAUUUACAUCUCUCUCUUAUAGUUUAUAAACUAUAUAAGAGAUAUGUAUAUUUUGUGAACAAUGUUAUAAUUCGCUUUGUCGGAUGAAGAAAUGACCCAAAUAAAAGUUAUAGAUCUUGAUGAGUUAUACCACUUUUUUAUUGAUGACUUUUUUAGUUGAAAUG
rnacentral:pre_miRNA from 1 species